UACAGAGGGGGCGAGCGUUGUUCGGAAUUACUGGGCGUAAAGGGCGCGUAGGCGGCCUUCUAAGUCGAACGUGAAAUCCCCGGGCUCAACCCGGGAACUGCGUCCGAUACUGGAAGGCUUGAAUCCGGGAGAGGGAUGCGGAAUUCCAGGUGUAGCGGUGAAAUGCGUAGAUAUCUGGAGGAACACCGGUGGCGAAGGCGGCAUCCUGGACCGGUAUUGACGCUGAGGCGCGAAAGCUAGGGGAGCAAACGGG
rnacentral:rRNA from 1 species